UACGGAGGGAGCUAGCGUUGUUCGGAAUUACUGGGCGUAAAGCGUACGUAGGCGGUUAUUCAAGUCAGAGGUGAAAGCCCGGGGCUCAACCCCGGAACGGCCUUUGAAACUAGAUAGCUAGAGUCUUGGAGAGGUUAGUGGAAUUCCGAGUGUAGAGGUGAAAUUCGUAGAUAUUCGGAAGAACACCAGUGGCGAAGGCGACUAACUGGACAAGUACUGACGCUCAGGCACGAAAGCGCGGGGAGCGAACAGG
rnacentral:rRNA from 1 species